rnacentral:pre_miRNA from 1 species
AAGUCCUACUCGGUACUCACCGUAUGCCUCACCUAUCUAUCUUUUUAAGUUGCUUCUAAAAGGACAGAUAGGUGAGGCAUACGGUGAGUACCGAGUAGGACUUU